rnacentral:rRNA from 1 species
GACAGAGGGGGCAAGCGUUGCUCGGAAUCACUGGGCGUAAAGGGCGCGUAGGCGGGAUGGCAAGUCGGUCGUGAAAUCCUUCGGCUCAACCGAAGAACGUCGGCCGAUACUGCCGUUCUUGAGGGAUGCAGAGGAGAUUGGAAUUCCCGGUGUAGCGGUGAAAUGCGUAGAGAUCGGGAGGAACACCCAUGGCGAAGGCAGCUCUCUGGUCGGCAUCUGACGCUGAGACGCGAAAGCGUGGGGAGCGAACGGG